rnacentral:rRNA from 1 species
UACGUAGGGGGCUAGCGUUGUCCGGAAUCAUUGGGCGUAAAGAGCGUGUAGGCGGUCCGGUAAGUCCGCUGUGAAAGUCGGGGGCUCAACCCUCGAAUGCCGGCGGAUACUGUCGGGCUAGAGUACGGAAGAGGCGAGUGGAAUUCCUGGUGUAGCGGUGAAAUGCGCAGAUAUCAGGAGGAACACCAAUUGCGAAGGCAGCUCGCUGGGACGUUACUGACGCUGAGGCGCGAAAGCUAGGGGAGCAAACGGG